rnacentral:rRNA from 1 species
GUAAUCUGCCCCUGGCUUUGGGGUAGCCACCGGAAACGGUGAUUAAUACCGGAUAUGACCACUUCUCGCAUGGGUUGUGGUGGAAAGUUUUUCGGCCAGGGAUGUGCUCGCGGCCUAUCAGCUUGAUGGUGAGGUAAUGGCUCACCAUGGCUUCGACGGGUAGCCGGCCUGAGAGGGUGACCGGUCACACUGGGACUGAGACACGGCCCAGACUCCUACGGGAGGCAGCAGUGGGGAAUAUUGGACAAUGGGCGGAAGCCUGAUCCAGCAACGCCGCGUGAGGGAUGACGGCCUUCGGGUUGUAAACCUCUUUCAGCAGGGACGAAGCGCAAGUGACGGUACCUGCAGAAGAAGCACCGGCCAACUACGUGCCAGCAGCCGCGGUAAUACGUAGGGUGCGAGCGUUGUCCGGAAUUAUUGGCCGUAAAGGGCUCGUAGGCGGUUUGUCGCGUCGGGAGUGAAAACCAGGUGCUUAACACCUGGCUUGCUUUCGAUACGGGCAGACUAGAGGUAUGCAGGGGAGAACGGAAUUCCUGGUGUAGCGGUGAAAUGCGCAGAUAUCAGGAGGAACACCGGUGGCGAAGGCGGUUCUCUGGGCAUGACCUGACGCUGAGGAGCGAAAGUGUGGGGAGCGAACAGGAUUAGAUACCCUGGUAGUCCACACCGUAAACGUUGGGCGCUAGGUGUGGGGUCCAUUCCACGGAUUCCGUGCCGCAGCUAACGCAUUAAGCGCCCCGCCUGGGGGAGUACGGCCGCAAGGCUAAAAAUCAAAGGAAUUGACGGGGGCCCGCACAAGCGGCGGAGCAUGCGAAUAUUUCGAUGCACCGCGAAAAACUUACCUGGGUUUGACUUAC